CGUGGGUCAAAAACUCCAAGGAAGCGAUGUUGUGUUUGUUUGAGGUAGCUGUUUGAGAAAGAGAAUUUCGGUGGCGAAGAUCUGUGUAAGUUGCGGAAAGCUGUUUUUAGACAGGAUGACCGAAAGGAAAGCAGUAAUCAAAAAUGCCGAUAUGUCAGAAGACAUGCAGUCAGAUGCAGUAGAGUGUGCUACCCAAGCUAUGGAAAAGUUCAACAUCGAGAAAGACAUCGCUGCCUACAUCAAGAAAGAAUUUGACAAGAAGUACAACCCAACAUGGCACUGUAUUGUUGGGAGGAAUUUUGGUUCCUAUGUGACCCAUGAAACAAAGCAUUUUAUUUACUUCUACCUUGGACAAGUAGCCGUGUUGCUCUUCAAGUCUGGUUAAUUUCGUGUCAAAAAGAAAAUGCUGUAUUUCGAUAGACUCGAGGUCGCCGGACGCCCUAUUAAAUUAAGUUAUAAGCUUACUUAUAGAAAACUAUUGAGAAAAUCGCGGUGUUUUGUGUUCUUUGCUUUGUAACAGAAUAUUUCUAGACUGACCUGUAAAAAUUUUUAUCAGAAAUGUACCUGUACUCCAAGCCCCUUUCUGUAAUACAAUAAACAUACAAGCACUGUCUUGAAGAGUAUGUUGUAACCACUGUUGACCACCUCCAUUAGGGUAAGGUGGGCUAACUUACAUAAACAAAGCUGACUUUAGAUUUGUAAUCUCAGGUCUGCUUGGUACUUUUAGGCAGAAUUCAGAUGUAAUAAAUUUAAGAUUGGAAAGUUUGCUCUA